rnacentral:snRNA from 1 species
CUGCUUUGGCAGCACAUAUACUAAAAUUGGAAUGAUACGGACAAGAUUAACAUGGCCCCUGUGCAAGGAUGGUAUGCAAAUUCGUGAAGUGUUCCAUAUAUUU